AUGGGUCGGAAGGGAUAUCGGCAGCUUGCUCGGAGUUGUUGCAGAUUCGUUGGAGGUAUUGGCCGUAGAUCUGGUACGAUCGAAAGCAUACGGAGUGAGUUGUGUGACCGGAAAGCGGUGACUUUGGCUUGCGGUGGUGCGAUUAUGUCGAGAUCUGAUUCGUGGAGUCCCUCUUUUUCUCCUUCCAACUUUUGCUUUGGAACAUCUGGAGGUGGCGGAUCAGAAGCGUUUUUAACGGCUUAUUGCGGGUACGUCGAUGGUAUGGUGGUGGUUGUUUCGCGACUACAGCAGUUGCUCUUCGUGGAUCCAUGA